UAGUGUGGACUAAUAAUCAAAUGGUCCAAUUGGUCAAAAGAUCAAAUUUUACCUAUGACCCGUGUGGACAACUUUCUAAAAAUCUAGGGUUACUAAAUUUGGGGAGAAAUUAGAUUUUUGACAAUCAAUCUCUAUCUGUCUCUCCGAUCAAAUUUCUCAAUCUAUCAAUCGAGUCUUUUGUUUUGUGUAUCAUUGAAUUAGGUCUGAGUUUAACACAUCGAAUUAGAUUCCGAAGCUCUAUCGGCUUUGGCUUUCGGGUUGGGUCUCAUCUACGGGAACGUGAAGCUCUAUCGAAUCUUAUGUGACCUUUGAAGAUUGAUCCAACCAACACUGAUAUAACACUGGUGUGGAACCUGCGUUAGAGAAUGUCAAAGUACUAUGAUAUUGACGACAUACUUGUUGAAGAAGAGUAUGUACCGGUUAUAUUCCAUAAAACAUNCAAAC